AGUCACAUCACCUCCGCGAGUCCUCAUUGGUUGGUGGGCGGGGCUCAAAGGUGAGGACUCCAGCGGGAAUUCCUUGCCAACAGGAGGGGUAGGCCUCCUGUCCUCCUACAUGAAGAAAGCUGCCUGUUGCCCAGAAUUCCAUGGAUGGAGGAGCCUGGUGGGCUACAGUCUGUGGGGUCACAAAGAGUUGGAUAUGACUGAGCAACUUUCACUUCACUUCAAGAAGCACAGUAAAUGGCACAGCAGGGAGGAGAGAAAAAGAGGAAGGACAGAAGAAUGGAGGGAGAGGACUUUCCUGGUGGUCCAAUGGUUAAGAAUCGGCCUGCCAAUGCAGGAGACACAGGUUUGAACCGUGGUCCAGGAAGAUUACGCGCGCUGCGGAGCAAUAAAGCCCAUGCCCCACCACUACUGAGCCUUAGCUCUAGAGCUGGUGCUCUGCAGCAAGAGAAGACACCACAAUGGGAAGCCCGCACACCACAACGAGAGAGAAGACUCCGCUCGCCACAGCUAGAGAAAGCCUGUGCAGAGCAACAAAGACAGUGCAGCCAAAAAUAAACAAACAAUUUAAUUUGAGGGGGAAAAAAAGGGAAGGAGGAAGAAAGGAGACCUGUAUCUUGUGCUUUCUUUCAAAGCCCCUUUAUAUUUGUAUAAAGUAUCCGUGUUUAUUUUUUAAAUGUAAAUGACAGGUAACAUGCUCUAUACACUGUUCUAUCCUUGCCUUUUCUACUUGACAGUAGAUAUUGGUUUGUACCAGUUUAGUCUCCCACCAAUAAUGCAUGGAUGCUCCCCAUCCUUGCCAAUACACUAGUCUGUUUUCCAUCUUUGUUGAGUUUUGAAGGAUGAAAAAUGACAUCUCAUUGUAAUCUUCACUUGCAGUUCCCUCAUUAUGAGAUUGGGUAUCUUUUUAUCUGUACAAGAGCAAUGAAUUUUUCUUUAUCUUUGAUAUUUAUUGACAUCCCUUACCCAUUUAUCAGUGGGAUUUUUCAUUUUUUAUAUUGAUUUGUAGUGGUUCUUUCUAUAGAAAAAAAGUAGGCAUUUGUCUGCCAUGUCUGCAAAUAUCUUUUAGCAAUUUAUCAUUUGUUGCUUAAUCUUGUGCUUUUUUCCAGUGCAGGGAUAUAUUUUUAAGUAGUUGAUUUAACUAGUCUUUUGUUGAAUAAAGCUUCAUAAGCACACAGUUCUCCC
ensembl:lncRNA